rnacentral:tRNA from 1 species
GUACUUAUAGUGUAAUCCCAACACGUUACCUUUUCGCGGUAAAAAUAUAGUUAUAUUAAGUACU